GAUGAACGCUGGCGGCGCGCCUAAUACAUGCAAGUCGAGCGAACGGACGAGAAGCUUGCUUUUCUGAUGUUAGCGGCGGACGGGUGAGUAACACGUGGAUAACCUACCUAUAAGACUGGGAUAACUUCGGGAAACCGGAGCUAAUACCGGAUAAUAUUUUGAACCGCAUGGUUCAAAAGUGAAAGACGGUCUUGCUGUCACUUAUAGAUGGAUCCGCGCUGCAUUAGCUAGUUGGUAAGGUAACGGCUUACCAAGGCAACGAUGCAUAGCCGACCUGAGAGGGUGAUAGGCCACACUGGAACUGAGACACGGUCCAGACUCCUACGGGAGGCAGCAGUAGGGAAUCUUCCGCAAUGGGCGAAAGCCUGACGGAGCAACGCCGCGUGAGUGAUGAAGGUCUUCGGAUCGUAAAACUCUGUUAUUAGGGAAGAACAUAUGUGUAAGUAACUGUGCACAUCUUGACGGUACCUAAUCAGAAAGCCACGGCUAACUACGUG
rnacentral:rRNA from 1 species